AUGAACGCUGGCGGCGUGCCUAACACAUGCAAGUCGAACGGAGUCGUUUUGGAAAUCUCUUCGGAGAUGGAAUUCUCGACUUAGUGGCGGACGGGUGAGUAACGCGUGAGCAAUCUGCCUUUAAGAGGGGGAUAACAGUCGGAAACGGCUGCUAAUACCGCAUAAAGCAUUAAAUUCGCAUGUUUUUGAUGCCAAAGGAGCAAUCCGCUUUUAGAUGAGCUCGCGUCUGAUUAGCUAGUUGGCGGGGUAACGGCCCACCAAGGCGACGAUCAGUAGCCGGACUGAGAGGUUGAACGGCCACAGUGGGACUGAGACACGGCCCAGACUCCUACGGGAGGCAGCAGUGGGGAAUAUUGCGCAAUGGGGGAAACCCUGACGCAGCAACGCCGCGUGAUUGAAGAAGGCCUUCGGGUUGUAAAGAUCUUUAAUCAGGGACGAAACAAAUGACGGUACCUGAAGAAUAAGCUCCGGCUAACUACGUG
rnacentral:rRNA from 1 species